rnacentral:piRNA from 1 species
AAGAAGGUGCUCUGAGGAAAUGAG